UUGUUGUCCUUUAGAGAGUUGCUUAAUUUUAGUCCUAGAGGAGGAUAAUUCUCCACAACUGUUGAGAAGCUGGUGCGAGCACAGAUUUCUUCACCUGAGUUGUCGGCUUCAACUUUCUGACUGGAUCUCCUCACAAGUCUGUCUGCGAGACCGAAGAGCCCUCUUAGGUGCAUGUGCGCCAUGAUAAAACUAUGCCAUGGCUUCCAAAUAGAUUCUCCACUGACAGUCUUAAAAUGAUUCCUCCCGUCCUCCUAUACUGGCUUUUCAUAAUUUGUGCUACAGUGGACAAUCAACAGUUCAAACUGCUGUCUGGAAGAGAAAGUGAGAUCAGCUCAUGGUCAGAAGUUGCUUAUUUACUCAGCAUUUCAAUUUAGGAGUGUCACUGCCACCAAGAGAGUAUG